AGAAGCCGACAGAGAGGAAGAAGUGUAUCAAGUUGAGACAUUUGGUGGUUGAAGUAAUUUGGUUGUGGAGUCUAGUCUUCUCCCGGUAUCAACCAUCUGUGGUUGAGAAUCAAACAGAAGGGAAGAAUUAUAAGAGGACCUUGACGCGAGACGAGUAUCUCGACGUCCGGAUUUGGACGGAUCGGACCUUUCUAUU